GGGGGUGACCCGGUUUCGACAGGGGUUGCAGACCAUGAAGCAGCGAGCCGGGGCGCCCAAGGCCUCGUUAACAAUGGGCAACGCCUUUAACUGGCAACCAGAACUACGCUCUCGCGGCUUAAUCGCCAUGAGCACUGCGCAGAGCUUGGCCUUUUGGCUUUGAUGCGGUGAACCUAAAAAAGGCUGCCCCGCUCCGGGGCGAACACCAAGCGGACAUCGCCGCACCUCAGGUGCCCCGAGACCCCGCGGAAGUGACGGAGAUGCGCUGAAGCUGCUGCCCUGACAGCCCAGCAAAGAUCCCAAGGGCCAAGCGUGCGGGGCCUUCCCACUGGGGAACUGCACGACGGAAAUCCAAUUAGAUGGGAACGCUCGUAGGACAGCUGAACGCGAAGAGCCUUUGGACGGCGGUUCGACUCCGCCCACCUCCACCA
rnacentral:tmRNA from 1 species